rnacentral:rRNA from 1 species
AGAGUUUGAUCCUGGCUCAGGAUGAACGCUGGCGGCGUGCCUAACACAUGCAAGUCGAGCGAUUCUCUUCGGAGAAGAGCGGCGGACGGGUGAGUAACGCGUGGGUAACCUGCCCUGUACACACGGAUAACAUACCGAAAGGUAUGCUAAUACGAGAUAAUAUGCUUUUAUCGCAUGGUAGAAGUAUCAAAGCUUUUGCGGUACAGGAUGGACCCGCGUCUGAUUAGCUAGUUGGUAAGGUAACGGCUUACCAAGGCGACGAUCAGUAGCCGACCUGAGAGGGUGAUCGGCCACAUUGGAACUGAGACACGGUCCAAACUCCUACGGGAGGCAGCAGUGGGGAAUAUUGCACAAUGGGCGAAAGCCUGAUGCAGCAACGCCGCGUGAGCGAUGAAGGCCUUCGGGUCGUAAAGCUCUGUCCUCAAGGAAGAUAAUGACGGUACUUGAGGAGGAAGCCCCGGCUAACUACGUGCCAGCAGCCGCGGUAAUACGUAGGGGGCUAGCGUUAUCCGGAAUUACUGGGCGUAAAGGGUGCGUAGGUGGUUUCUUAAGUCAGAGGUGAAAGGCUACGGCUCAACCGUAGUAAGCCUUUGAAACUGGGAAACUUGAGUGCAGGAGAGGAGAGUGGAAUUCCUAGUGUAGCGGUGAAAUGCGUAGAUAUUAGGAGGAACACCAGUGGCGAAGGCGGCUUUCUGGACUGAAACUGACACUGAGGCACGAAAGCGUGGGGAGCAAACAGGAUUAGAUACCCUGGUAGUCCACGC